rnacentral:lncRNA from 1 species
UACAUAGGAACGACCUGAUUCUCAGUGACGGCAGGCUGCUAGCAGUCAUUGCUCGAUUUGCAGCUUAUAACCUCCAAUGUCCGCUUUUAUCGAGUAAUUCUUUUAAUAAUCCACAAACUGGAAUGUACAAUGUUAUUUUUCGACAAACAUUACACCAUGGGAGGAACCAAUCAGCCUAGUGUGUAUGCCAAACAGGUUGCAGUAACAACAGCCAACAGAUACCCACAACCUCUGGUUUGUCACUUUCCAGUUCCUACCAACUUCUGAAAUCUAUCAAAAUCUGGAAAGAAAAUUGUAUCCUGCUUUAGGAAGCUUUGUUAGCAGCAGGAUUUCUUCCGAAUUGUAUGAUCAUUGGUUUUCCUUUGAACACAUAGCCAUGCGCUAGAUUCUGCAAAACCAUAAGGGGCGAUUCGGUUAUUACGGAAUGGAGGCCUAGAACGAUUUCAAUUUCUAAUCGGAUUGCUUCUCUAAUUUAUAUAAGUUUUGAUACAUAGGAACGACCUGAUUCUCAGUGACGGCAGGCUGCUAGCAGUCAUUGCUCGAUUUGCAGCUUAUAACCUCCAAUGUCCGCUUUUAUCGAGUAAUUCUUUUAAUAAUCCACAAACUGGAAUGUACAAUGUUAUUUUUCGACAAACAUUACACCAUGGGAGGAACCAAUCAGCCUAGUGUGUAUGCCAAACAGGUUGCAGUAACAACAGCCAACAGAUACCCACAACCUCUGGUUUGUCACUUUCCAGUUCCUACCAACUUCUGAAAUCUAUCAAAAUCUGGAAAGAAAAUUGUAUCCUGCUUUAGGAAGCUUUGUU